rnacentral:rRNA from 1 species
GACGAACGCUGGCGGCGUGCCUAAUACAUGCAAGUAGAACGCUGAAGGAGGAGCUUGCUUCUCUGGAUGAGUUGCGAACGGGUGAGUAACGCGUAGGUAACCUGCCUGGUAGCGGGGGAUAACUAUUGGAAACGAUAGCUAAUACCGCAUAAGAGUAGAUGUUGCAUGACAUUUGCUUAAAAGGUGCAAUUGCAUCACUACCAGAUGGACCUGCGUUGUAUUAGCUAGUUGGUGGGGUAACGGCUUACCAAGGCGACGAUACAUAGCCGACCUGAGAGGGGGAUCGGCCACACUGGGACUGAGACACGGCCCAGACGCCUACGGGAGGCAGCAGUAGGGAAUCGUCGGCAAUGGACGGAAGUCUGACCGAGCAACGCCGCGUGAGUGAAGAAGGUUUUCGGAUCGUAAAGCUCGGUUGUAAGAGAAGAACGAGUGUGAGAGUGGAAAGUUCACACUGUGACGGUAACUGACCAGAAAGGGACGGCUAACUACGUG